AGGACGAACGCUGGCGGCGUGCUUAACACAUGCAAGUCAAGGGGGCCCCGCAAGGGGCAACCGGCGAACGGGUGCGUAACACGUGAGCGACCUGCCGAUCCGAGGGGGAUAGCCGGCCCAACGGCCGGGUAAUACCGCAUACGCUCGUUUUUUCUCAUGGAGAGACGAGGAAACUUCCGGGGCGGAUCGAGGAGCUCGCGGCCUAUCAGCUAGUUGGGGGGUAACGCCUCCCAAGGCGACGACGGGUAGCUGG
rnacentral:rRNA from 1 species